rnacentral:rRNA from 1 species
CUGCAACUCGCCUGCACGAAGCCGGAGUUGCUAGUAAUCGCGGAUCAGAAUGCCGCGGUGAAUGCGUUCCCGGGUCUUGUACACACCGCCCGUCACACCAUGGAAGUUGGGGGUGCCCAAAGCCGGCAGGGAAAUAUGCUGUCUAAGGCAAAACCAAUGACUGGGGUGAAGUCGUAACAAGGUAGC